rnacentral:rRNA from 1 species
UGGCGGACGGGUGAGUAAUGUCUGGGGAAACUGCCUGAUGGAGGGGGAUAACUACUGGAAACGGUAGCUAAUACCGCAUAACGUCGCAAGACCAAAGAGGGGGACCUUCGGGCCUCUUGCCAUCGGAUGUGCCCAGAUGGGAUUAGCUAGUAGGUGGGGUAAAGGCUCACCUAGGCGACGAUCCCUAGCUGGUCUGAGAGGAUGACCAGCCACACUGGAACUGAGACACGGUCCAG